rnacentral:rRNA from 1 species
GAUGAACGCUGGCGGCGUGCCUAAUACAUGCAAGUCGAGCGAACAGACGAGGAGCUUGCUCCUUUGACGUUAGCGGCGGACGGGUGAGUAACACGUAGGUAACCUACCUAUAAGACUGGGAUAACUUCGGGAAACCGGAGCUAAUACCGGAUAAUAUUUCGAACCGCAUGGUUCGAUAGUGAAAGAUGGCUUUGCUAUCACUUAUAGAUGGACCUGCGCCGUAUUAGCUAGUUGGUAAGGUAACGGCUUACCAAGGCAACGAUACGUAGCCGACCUGAGAGGGGGAUAGGCCACACGGGAACUGAGGCACGGUCCAGACUCCUACGGGAGGCAGCAGUAGGGAAUCUUCCGCAAUGGGCGAAAGCCUGACGGAGCAACGCCGCGUGAGUGAUGAAGGUCUUCGGAUCGUAAAACUCUGUUAUUAGGGAAGAACAAACGUGUAAGUAACUGUGCACGUCUUGACGGUACCUAAUCAGAAAGCCACGGCUAACUACGUG